ensembl:misc_RNA 7SK 7SK RNA
AGAAGGGUGGUCUGGUUGCGACAUCUGUCACCAGAUUGAUUGCCAGCAUUGAUCAGCUGCUCUGGCUGGCUAGGUGUAGCCCUUGUCCUCCCUCACUGCUCCAUGUGUGUCCCUCCUGAAGCUAGGUGCUUAAUUGAAGAGGACAACCACCUCUGGUAGAGGAAGACCAUUUCCUUGCUCAAGGGUAUCCCAGAAGCUGCAGUCCCCUCGUAGCUGGAACUUCCAAACAAGCUCUCAAAUAUCAAUGUCUCUAUGGAGGUGUAAGUAGAGUAUUUCAUUCAGUAAGAACAUAGUUUGAGACAAUGUACUGCAACACGAGGUAUUACUU